GCUUACGGCCAUACCAGCCUGGGUUCGUCUGAUCUCGGAAGCUAAGCAGGGUCGGGCCUUGUUAGUACUUGGAUGGGAGACCGCCUGGGAAUACCAGGUGCUGUAAGGA
rnacentral:rRNA from 1 species